GACUGCUCCGGUGGGCUAGUGGUUGGAGCGUCCGCAUUGGGUGCGGAUGGUCAUGGGUUCGAACCCUAGCUAAGUCA